rnacentral:rRNA from 1 species
UACGUAGGGGGCUAGCGUUGUCCGGAAUCAUUGGGCGUAAAGCGCGUGUAGGCGGCCCGGUAAGUCCGCUGUGAAAGUCGGGGGCUCAACCCUCGAAAGCCGGUGGAUACUGUCGGGCUCGAGUGCGGAAGAGGCGAGUGGAAUUCCUGGUGUAGCGGUGAAAUGCGUAGAUAUCUGGAGGAACACCGGUGGCGAAGGCGGCAUCCUGGACCGGCAUUGACGCUGAGGAGCGAAAGCCAGGGGAGCAAACAGG